AGUGAACGCUGGCGGUAGGCCUAAUACAUGCAAGUCGAACGGCAGCACAGUAAGAGCUUGCUCUUACGGGUGGCGAGUGGCGGACGGGUGAGGAAUACAUCGGAAUCUACUUUUUCGUGGGGGAUAACGUAGGGAAACUUACGCUAAUACCGCAUACGACCUACGGGUGAAAGCAGGGGAUCUUCGGACCUUGCGCGAUUGAAUGAGCCGAUGUCGGAUUAGCUAGUUGGCUGGGUAAAGGCCCACCAAGGCGACGAUCCGUAGCUGGUCUGAGAGGAUGAUCAGCCACACUGGAACUGAGACACGGUCCAGACUCCUACGGGAGGCAGCAGUGGGGAAUAUUGGACAAUGGGCGCAAGCCUGAUCCAGCCAUGCCGCGUGGGUGAAGAAGGCCUUCGGGUUGUAAAGCCCUUUUGUUGGGAAAGAAAAGCAGCAGGUUAAUACCCCGCUGUUCUGACGGUACCCAAAGAAUAAGCACCGGCUAACUUCGUG
rnacentral:rRNA from 1 species